AUACAUAUAAUCUGUUGGAAUCAGAGUGAAUCCAAGCUCUUCCCAGUUUACAUUUGCGUACUUCUCAUCUGCUUCACUGUUUUAAAUACAACGCAUUACAAUACCAAAAAGAACCCCAAAUGAUUAAAAUGAUUUUGAAUAAAUAGAAAACUGGCGAAUAGGGAAAAUCAACACGAUAAAGCCAUAUGAGCAAUACAUAUUACGAGAAAUAAAUGUUUAUUUUCAUUUGACGUUUCAAUUUUUUUAUAAUAAGAUGGUAUUUUUAACCUUGUAAGACAAGAUGAUGAUGAAGGGUGCACAGUCGGAACCAUUGGAUAGAGUAAAACAAAGAAAUAAAGAAAGAAAAUGGUUUGAACUUUGGACAGAUGAUGUAUUUUGAAGAAGGCUUAUCUCGCCUCCUUUUAUAAGGAUAAUAACAACAAACUAACCCUUCGAAAGUUCGAAUUCAAUCGGUCACAACAGGUCUUACUUAUUCCUCUCUCCGUUUCAUAUUAAGUGUCAUUUUAGAGAAUUUUUUUCCUUACAAAAUAAAUGUCGUUUUUCGAUUUUCAAUGCAAAGUUUAUUAAUUUUAUGCAAAAUUUAAUUUUCUAUUGAUUGAAACAUGGUUAGGUGUAUAGGUAAUAGUGUUUUUUAUAGGAAAUGUAUAAAAUUAAUUGUUUCCUUAAUCCGUGUGUCGAAACCUAAAACGACACUUGUAAUGAAACAGAAGAAUUUUUAUGUUAAUUAAAUAACUUUGGAAUCUCCACCUAAUUUAGCAUUUGAAAACACUAAAAGCUUAGUUGAUAUAAAAACGUUAAGGUAUAAUAUUUAAUUAUGUAUAAAUGUAUCGUAUAUUAUAGGAUUGGUUAAUUUAAAAUGAGCAAGGUUAAUCAUAUACUUUCCCACAAUGAUUGAGUUGCCUCCGCAAACGAUCGGACUACAUACCUUUUAUUUAUUUAGAGCGUAUUCCAAGAAAAUUAAAGAAUAGGAGUUUAUAUAUCUAUAUAUAUAAUAGCAAACCAAAUUUUGUUCUCGACAGUAUUUUUUUUUUAUAGGAAAAAAAAAAUUAACAUCCAAUGGUAGAGUUUUUCUUGAAAAUAUAAUCUAAUGGUUUAGAUUUUGUUUAAGAUUAGACUAUGACGUCAUUGGUUUACUUAACCAAUCGACGUCUUCCUUACAUGUCACAACUAUACAAAGGCAUCUCUUAACCCGUAAGAGUCACGUCUUUUCAGUAUUAUAUAUUGAAGGAGUUGUAUAGGUUGUUUGAUUUAUUUGAGGGUUCUCCCAUUAUUUCCUUUGUUUCUUACUUCUCUUUCUGGACUUUUGAUUUUUCUGUUGUUGCAAUCCUUUGGGACCAUCUUAUUUUCUCUACUCUGGCUCUGUCUGGCUCUGUUGAGUUUCUGUAUUUUCCGAUCUAUUUCUCUACUAAUACCGUUAGAUGAGUUUCUUGUGAGUCUACGGCCGCUAAACCACAAUUCAAUACAAGUCAUUCAUUCGCUCUAUCAUAACAGCGAGAAGGUACUUUGGCUGAUGGUAAUACUUCCUCUGUUUUUUAUGUUCACUGGUAACGCUUCUUAUACAUCAUCUGAUACUGUCCGUUGGAUCCACAAUUAAGAUCUCAAUCAUUCGCUCUACACAGAUAGUUUCCGACUUGAUUAAAGUAAUUACAGUAAGAAUACUUUCGCUUAGAUGUUUGUUGGUAGCGCUGCAUAAUCAUUGUUUGAUUAGACUAUGUAUGAUCCACGAUUAAGAAUCUUUGUAAAAUUACACUAUUAGACUUUGAAAAGAGUUUGAUGUUCUUCUCAGACACUUUCAUCGUCUUUGUUGAGAAAUUAUCCAGUGGUUGUUUUAUUUUAAGAGAUACAACUCCUUUUGAAUGGUUAGGAAUGCGUGAAAAGAGAUAGAGGAAUUGUGUUUUUUUUGGGUGGCCAACGAUCAAUCAUCAACUCACUUCAUUUUUUUUCUUGCUAUCUAUAUUAUUAAAGCAGAAUCCUAUUGUCCUUUUUACUUAGUGUAGUGUGCUCUUUCUUUACUAACAUUACAUGUUUCAUUAAGGGCAAUCAAGUAAUAUUAAUAACACAUCUAUAUUGAGCCAUUUUUUCGGAUCCAGCCCACUGUCCACAUCAGAUCUCUCUUGGGCCUUUUGGGCCGAUUAAGAAAUCAGAUCAAAUUCUCAUUUUUUUCCAUUGGGUCAUUGAAUCCAAGUUCAAAUAAUUUUUUUUCAACCAUUCUUAAUUAUUAUUUUUUUCUUAUCUUAAUAUAAUUUAAGCAUUCAUAAAAAAAUUGAAUUUUUUCAUUGAAAAGUAUAAAUCUUUAUUAAAAGUAUAUAAUUUUUUUAUUAAAAAUAUUAACCACACAAUAAAAUUAAUUUAUUAAAGUUAUACCAACUUAAUUCAUUAAAGAAAAAAGUUUAAUUUUUUAAACAUAAAUAGUCAUUUAAAAUGAAACACGAUAAAGAAAGAUAAAAAGUUUAAGUCUUUUAUAAAAUAAAACACAAAUAUAUAAAAUAUGACAUUUACUAAAUAUUUGUCAAUUGAAAAAAAAAAAAAGAAUCCGCGCUUUGAAAGCGCGGGUCAAAAUCUAGUUUAGAGAUUAUGACUUCAACUCCUUUUUUUUUCUUAAAUUGUAUUUGUUACAUCGCAAUUGUAAUUGAGUUUUUUGUUGUAUGUUAUUAAGGUGUGUGUAAGAGUCCUGACUUUACAUUGGAUAGUUUUAUCUCUAUUCCAAAAGUCACAAUGUUUAGCAAGUAUUGUCAAACCUAUACAACCGAAUGUGUGUUGUCUUAAUAAAUUAAUAAGUUUCAGUAAUACUCUGUUUUUCUUCCAUAGAAACAGAGCACGUCGAUUAUAAACGUAAUCUAUAUUCUUUCUAUUUCACAAGUAAAACGUUUGUUCUGUUUACAUAUGUGAUUGUAUGUGAUUCCAAAUUCUAUUGUUGGCCUUUUUCUCUUUUGAAACUUGUAAGCAUAAUUAAAUUAUAAAUUGGGAAAAAUUGUUGACAAAGGCCCAUUAGUUUUGAAAGAGGGAUUCUCUUUUUUUUUUUUACCAAAAGAGGUAUUCUCUUAAAACUGAAUGCUAAAGGAGUGAAACUCGAUCUCGAAGUACAAAAAAUGUGUUAGAUGGUUAAAACAUAUGAAUAUGAUGAAAAGUGUUCCCAGAAACAGAUGAGUUUUCCGAAUAUGUUGAUAUACGAACUGUUAGUUUCAUUGGUGUUGGAAUUAGCACAAUGGACAUAUCUUAUCAUAUUCAUCAUAUUACAUACCAUCGCUAAAAAAUAAUAUCUGAAGAUUGUAAUGGUGAUGAAAUAUAAUACUUCUAUAUAAAACUCUUAAUGCUGGCUUUUUUCAAAUGGUUUCACGUAUUAACAUGUGUUUGUUGUAUGUUACAUUUGUUUUUGUAAUAGGCUUACAUUAGAAUGUAACAUUCUUCGUACAUCAAUUUCAAAAUUUGAAAAAGUUACAUCACUAGGAAAUUGUAAACGAGGGAGAAUCUUAGGAGGACAAAAACAGUUGCUAUGAUCCAUCACAACCUUAACCAGGGCUGGCUUUUGACGUGUGCGGACGUAGUGAUUGCACAAGAUCCCUCAAGUUUUUUUUUUGCAAAUUUCCUUUAUACAUGAGGGUCCUAGAAUUUUAAUUUCUUGCAAGCAAAGGCCCUAAAUUUUUUAUUUGUGCAAGAAAAGAACCUAAAAUUUUUGAUUUUGCACUGGGCUUAUAUACGUUUUGAGCUGCCCCUGACCUCAACAUCUUCAAGUGUAUCACUCGUUUGUCUGUGCGUGCGUUUACGAAGGGUAGUUAGGUCUCGAAAAAAAAGUGGGAGACAUUAAGACCAUCUCCAUUGGAGUCCUUAGCAAUAUAAUAAUAUUUUUUUUGUUUUUUUUUAAUAGUUAAGGACUCUAAUCUUAAUUGUAUGUCCAAUGGUGUUAUCUAUUAUGGAAUCUUUAGUUU